UGGCUGCUGCUGAUCAGGCGG
rnacentral:misc_RNA from 1 species